rnacentral:misc_RNA from 1 species
GAGUUGCAGACCCCAAUCCGAACUAAGGCCGGCUUUCAGCGAUUCGCUCCACCUCACAGUGUCGCUGCGCGUUGUACCGACCAUUGUAGCAUGUGUGAAGCCCUGGGUAUAAAGGGCAUGAUGAUUUGACGUCAUCCCCACCUUCCUCCGAGUUAACCCCGGCAGUUUCUCAUGAGUCCCCACCAAAAAUGUGCUGGCAACAUAAGACAAGGGUUGCGCUCGUUGCGGGA